rnacentral:ncRNA from 2 species
ACAAGCAGUGCGCGAGAGUCCGGUAAGGAGCGAAGCGCUUCGAGGCCGGCACCGAAGGCGCAAAUCCGCCCGGAAUCGCUCAGGUCAAGGGAGCGCACUGCGAGU